AUCGAGGCUUUGAUGUGCAAAUUACUACCUAUUUUCUGAGAAGCGGAAGUUUUAUUCCCUUCUCUGAUUAAGUGUAACCAAUGGAUCCUACUGAGCCUCUCA